GUGGGGAAUUUUGGACAAUGGGCGAAAGCCUGAUCCAGCCAUGCCGCGUGCAGGAUGAAGGCCUUCGGGUUGUAAACUGCUUUUGUACGGAACGAAAAGACUUCUUCUAAUACAGGAGGUCCAUGACGGUACCGUAAGAAUAAGCACCGGCUAACUACGUGCCAGCAGCCGCGGUAAUACGUAGGGUGCAAGCGUUAAUCGGAAUUACUGGGCGUAAGGCGUGCGCAGGCGGUUAUAUAAGACAGAUGUGAAAUCCCCGGGCUCAACCUGGGAACUGCAUUUGUGACUGUAGAGCUAGAGUACGGUAGAGGGGGAUGGAAUUCCGCGUGUAGCAGUGAAAUGCGUAGAUAUGCGGAGGAACACCGAUGGCGAAGGCAAUCCCCUGGACCUGUACUGACGCUCAUGCACGAAAGCGUGGGGAGCAAACAGGAUUAGAUACCCCAGUAGUCC
rnacentral:rRNA from 1 species